UUGGUACUCCCUCCGUCCGAAAAUAGUUGUCAUCAAAAUGGAUGAAAAGGGAUGUAUCUAGAACUAAAAUACGUCUAGAUACAUCUCCUUUAAUCCAUUUUGAUGACAAGUAUUUCCGGACGGAGGGAGUAUGUC
rnacentral:pre_miRNA from 1 species